rnacentral:rRNA from 1 species
UACGUAGGGGGCAAGCGUUGUCCGGAAUUAUUGGGCGUAAAGAGCGCGUAGGCGGUCCGAUAAGUCGGCUGUGAAAGUCCAGGGCUCAACCCUGGAAAGCCGGCCGAUACUGUCGGACUAGAGUCCGGAAGAGGCGAGUGGAAUUCCCGGUGUAGCGGUGAAAUGCGCAGAUAUCAGGAGGAACACCGGUGGCGAAGGCGGAUCUCUGGGCCAUUACUGACGCUGAGGAGCGAAGCGUGGGAGCGAACAGG